rnacentral:lncRNA from 1 species
AAAAUCAAGAAGCAAGCUGGAAAAAACUAGAAAGCACAUCAGGAAAAAUUAGAUAUGGCCGCAAACAAUGUGGAGGCACCGUUAUUCAGAGGAUUCUUGGAGAAUGGAAGCUUCUUCAGCUAGGUUCUAAACAGUGAUAAAUGUGAGUCGGUGAACAGUGUGGAAUGUCAUUGUUAGGCUGGUGACAGGGUGGCCCAGGCAAAGGGACAACAUGCAGGGAAUAAUAAGGGAACAGCCACAAAUGGUCUGUAUGGGCGGAUGUUGGGCCUGUUGUCUCAGUUCCUUGGGAGACUGAAACAAGAGGCUCACUUGAGCCCAAGACUUCAAGACCAGCCCAGGCAACGUAAGGAGACCCCAUCUCACAAAGUGAAGGGAAUCACUGUGAAAAAGUUAGAGAACACAGCUGUGAAACCAGAGGCUCCAGAAAACUGAAAAAAGAACGAACCUUUUACUGACCGAAAGAAGCAAAUGCCCAAGAGAGAAGAAAGCGGAGAAGUAAGGGAUUCAGAAUGUGGCUGCUAAAAUGUGGAAAAUGAAAAUGAACGGCCCACAAAUUUCUGAAAUGAAGUUAAAGGAAGAUCAUGCUAUGAAAAAGCGUGGGAAAGGCACACAUUUCAAGUCAGGUACAAAGGAUCGAACUCAGGACCUCACACUUACCACUUAUGAGUCAGGGAUCGAACUCGGGACCUUGCCCUUGUGAGUGAACAUUGAUGGAAAGAUCCAAGGUGGAGUCAUGAUCCGGUUAUUCCUCAACCUGGAGAUGGUACUGAAAACCAUGGGGCAGAGACCACCAAGUGCUUUGUUAUUUCAUGCAAACAGAAUGAAGAUCACCACGCUUCUUACCAGGGGUGGGGGAGAAUUGACUCGGAAGAGACAGGGAGAGCAAGAAGGACUUCAGGGUGCCCAGAUGCCUGGUAGGACUCUGAGGACAGAUCAGCAUCCAAAUGGAAGAAGGGACAGGCUGUGACGGAAGGGCACUUCACCCCGAGGCCUAACUCCCCAAGACCAAUCAUGAGAGAAGUGCCAGACACUCCUCAAUUGAAGGACUCUUUACAAAACCCACGAUCAGUACUCCUCAAGAUUGUCAAGGUCAUCAAAGAACGUCCAAGAAACUGUCCUGGUCAGGAGCAGCCUCAGGACAAUGUACACAUCCGACAGGGGGGCCCUGGGAGGGAAAGGGACAGGUGAAGACUCUGGAAGUGAGCCUGACCUUAGAACUUAGAAUUAAGGAGAUCUGAACAAAGUGUGCCCUUCAGUUAAUAAGGUGUUGAUACCAGUUUGUUAGUUAUGAAAAAUGUUCCACACUAAUGUUCCUCUUACUCGUGUAAGACUUCAACAAAAGGAAAGUAGGUUUGGGAUAUAUGGAAA